rnacentral:lncRNA from 1 species
GAAGACUUCUUUAUAAGUCUUCUCGUUCAGUAGAUCUUAAAAAUAAUUUAAAUUUUUUAUAAAAACUAUUUUGAUGGAAAAGAUAUUGAAAUCAUGUAAUAAUAAACAUUUCUAAAUGAUGUAAAUUUAUUUUUACUAAAAUUGAAUUAUUUUCAACAUAGAUGAGUGAAAGUAGAUUAACUCAUGAUAGUCUUUGGUUUAGGGUUUGGUUACAUAUAUUAUAAUAUUGUUGUAAUAUUUAGGGUUAGAUUUUGAAAUCUUAUCUUUUGUUUUUUAAUUUUUUUUUACCUAUAUGUGUUUAGUGAUUAUCUAAUAACUUGAUUUAAACACUUUCUAAGUAUCUUAAAAGUUUAAGGAAGUGUUUUUUUUUUUUUUAGUUAUUUGAUUAUUGGGCCUGGAAGACUCACAGAAGACUUCCCAAGAAGUCUUCUAACGUAUCCCACCUAAAUUUUAGUAUAAUUUAGGUUUUCCACCUAAAUCGAAGUCUUCCAGAAGUUUUCUAGGAGAAGUCUUCUCAUGUAUUGGAUCUUAAAAGUAAUUAAUAAAUUUUAUAAAAAAUAUUUUGAAAAAAAAGAAAAAAUAAAAAUCAUGUAUUAAUAAACAUUAC